CCACCAAGCCCACUGUACAUCUCACUUGUUUUGAACCGGUUAUGGGUAUCACCUUACCAGUGAGAAACGUGAGUACCAUUUUACACUAUCCCAUCAAUACGAAUAUAUUUACAGCGGUUUGAGUGCAAGAAAAGAAUGCUUGCCAAACGUCAAACACUUGCCCACAGGGAUAGCCGUGUGGAAGGGUUGCCAAACUGACGCGGAAUCAUUAGGGUUCGGGUGUUGUCGGGUUUGGUCGUAUCAUAGUUCAAGAAAAACGCUCAGCUCAGGAUCAGGAAUUCUAUUCUGUCCUUAGACUCCACCGAGAGUAGAAGUGCGCGUCGGAAUUCAAUAUAAAUUAAAAUUAACAAGUAAUCCAGUGAUUUCCUAAGUGAAAGUCUCUAAUCAGUACCGUUAUACCGCCAGGUGGUCUAGGACAGGUGAGACUGCCUUAAAGCAAAGUGAUAGUGCGAUCUUUUGUGUAAUCUAUAAAGACCACAAAUUGUAAAGAAAAGAAACUCGAGAAACCUAUUGUAAACCAAACGGAAGAAAGAAAAGGUCCAGAAAGCGGGCCUUUUUCUGUUUUCUUGCUCUUUUCGUGUCGCAGGGUCGAUUAGGUGGUGCCUCGGAAGGAACGAUCUCCAGUGGUUCCCGGAUUCAGGCGAGACGAGUGUCGUGUAUGAGAACGCCCACGUGGAGGGCGAGCUAAUCGGGUCCACGGCCUUUGUGACCGCCAUCGCCAUUGUUGGCCAUUGUUCGGAUUCCAACCACUACCCAGUGACUCGUCGCCCAUACACCAUCAUCGUAGCGACCUCGUAACCACGCCACGGCUCGGACAUUGUAUCAGCCACCGUCCGACCGGUUCUCAACGCCUUUCGACCAUCGCCAUCGCCGACUGGGACGGCAUCGCAACUACGCCCCGGUUCGGGCACUGUAUCGGCCACCGCCCGGUCGCUUUCCAACGCCUUUCGACCAUCGCCACCAACCCCUAUCGACCAUCGCCUUCGCCGCCUGGGACGGCAUCACAACUACGCCCCGGUUCGGGCACUGUAUCGGCCAUCGUCCGGCCAUUUUCCAACGCCUUUCGACCAUCGCCAUUGCAGCCUUGUACAAAAGCACCACCUCGCCGCUGUUCGCGCCCGGUAGCGGCCAUUGCCAAGCUACUCUUGUUCAUCACCUGCAUCGAGUGCGCCGCGGACGGAACCACGCCAUCGUUCGGGCACUAGAGCGGCCAUCACGAUUGCCCAUCGCCAGUAGAUCACCACCAUCGUCGCCCGAGCCCACGUGUCCGAUAGUGCCGGCGGCAAGUGCCCUGUUUUCGUCAUUGGGCGAUUCACCACCGCCAACAUCAGCACCAGUGGUGCCCAACCAAAAUCUGUCGACCGCCCGCAGCGUGUCGAACUUCGAUGACAUGUGGCACCA